CUAGAAGGGCCGCACUUCGGUCCGGGUGGCUUGCCGCCCGGUGAAAAGGGAACAACGGUGCGGCAUCGCCUGAUGCCAAGUCCGUGACUGCCCCCGCAACUGUAGGCGGAUAGCGAAGCCGGAACAUGCCACUGCCGCGCCAUGCGGUGGGAAGGCACGGCCAAGCAAUGACCCGCAAGUCAGGAGACCUGCCGAGGCGAUCACCCUGUC
rnacentral:ncRNA from 1 species